GCGUCCUUGGUGUAACGGUAACACGCAUUCACUUGCCGGCUUUUAGCCACUUCGAAUGGCCCGGGGUUCGACUCCCCGAGGACACC